AUUGCCCUAGUAACGGCGAGUGAAGCGGCAACAGCUCAAAUUUGAAAUCUGGCCCUAGUGGUCCGAAUUGUAAUUUGUAGAGGAUGCUUUGGGCGCGGUGCCUUCCGAGUUCCUUGGAACAGGACGCCUUAGAGGGUGAGAGCCCCGUACGGUUGGACACCAAGCCUAUGUAAAGCUCCUUCGACGAGUCGAGUAGUUUGGGAAUGCUGCUCUAAAUGGGAGGUAAAUUUCUUCUAAAGCUAAAUACCGGCCAGAGACCGAUAGCGCACAAGUAGAGUGAUCGAAAGAUGAAAAGUACUUUGAAAAGAGGGUUAAAUAGCACGUGAAAUUGUUGAAAGGGAAGCAUUUAUGACCAGACCUUUGCUAGGUGGAUCAUCCGGUGUUCUUCACCGGUGCACUUCGCCUAGCUUAGGCCAGCAUCGAUUUCUGUAGGGGGAUAAAGGUCUAGGGAACGUAGCUCUCUUCGGAGAGUGUUAUAGCCCUGGGCGUAAUACCCUUACGGGGAUCGAGGUUCGCGCUUCGGCAAGGAUGCUGGCAUAAUGGUCAUCAAUGACCCGUCUUGAAACACGGACCAAGGAGUCGAACAUUUAUGCGAGUGUUUGGGUGUCAAACCCUCACGCGUAAUGAAAGUGAACGGAGGUGAGAGCCCUUACGGGUGCAUCAUCGACCGAUCCUGAUGUCUUCGGAUGGAUUUGAGUAAGAGCAUAACUGUUCGGACCCGAAAGAUGGUGAACUAUGCGUGGAUAGGGUGAAGCCAGAGGAAACUCUGGUGGAGGCUCGCAGCGGUUCUGACGUGCAAAUCGAUCGUCAAAUCUGCGCAUGGGGGCGAAAGACUUAUCGAACCAUCUAGUAGCUGGUUACCGCCGAAGUUUCCCUCAGGAUAGCAGUGUUGUAUUCAGUUUUAUGAGGUAAAGCGAAUGAUUAGGGACUCGGGGGCGAUUUUUAGCCUUCAUCCAUUCUCAAACUUUAAAUAUGUAAGAAG
rnacentral:rRNA from 1 species